CCUACGGGGAGCAGCAGUGGGGAAUAUUGGACAAUGGGCGAAAGCCUGAUCCAGCCAUGCCGCGUGUGUGAAGAAGGCCUUCGGGUUGUAAAGCACUUUCAGUGGGGAAGAAAGCCUUGGGGCUAAUACCCUCGAGGAAGGACAUCACCCACAGAAGAAGCACCGGCUAACUCCGUGCCAGCAGCCGCGGUAAUACGGAGGGUGCGAGCGUUAAUCGGAAUUACUGGGCGUAAAGCGCGCGUAGGCGGUCUGAUAAGCCGGUUGUGAAAGCCCCGGGCUCAACCUGGGAACGGCAUCCGGAACUGUCAGGCUAGAGUGCAGGAGAGGAAGGUAGAAUUCCCGGUGUAGCGGUGAAAUGCGUAGAGAUCGGGAGGAAUACCAGUGGCGAAGGCGGCCUUCUGGACUGACACUGACGCUGAGGUGCGAAAGCGUGGGUAGCAAACAGGAUCAGAUACCCCUGUAGUC
rnacentral:rRNA from 1 species